rnacentral:rRNA from 1 species
CGCUGGCGGCACGCUUAACACAUGCAAGUCGAACGAACGGAGAUAGCUUGCUAUCAAAGUUAGUGGCGGACGGGUGAGUAACACGUGAGCAAUCUGCCUUUAAGUGGGGAAUAACGAUUGGAAACGGUCGGUAAUACCGCAUAAAAUAGCUGAACCGCAUGAUUUGGCUAUCAAAGAUUUAUCGCUUAAAGAUGAGCUCGCGUCUGAUUAGCUAGUUGGUGAGGUAACGGCCCACCAAGGCGACGAUCAGUAGCCGGACUGAGAGGUUGAACGGCCACAUUGGGACUGAGACACGGCCCAGACUCCUACGGGAGGCAGCAGUGGGGAAUAUUGCACAAUGGGCGCAAGCCUGAAUGCAGCGAUGCCGCGUGAGGGAAGAAGGUUUUCGGAUUGUAAACCUCUGUUGACAGGGACGAUAAUGACGGUACCUGUUCAGAAAGCUCCGGCUAACUACGUGCCAGCCGCCGC